CAGAAAUUAGGAACUGCAGCAGAUGACAUUCUUUAUCCUUCCAUAAUACUCUUUAAAAUAAUGCAUGUGCAUCCUUUAGAAUUGUUUCACUGCAGUGUAUGUAUUCUAUGUAAGAACUGAUGCGUGUAAGUGCUGUUUGCAAACUGUUUAGCUCAGUGACUCACUAAAACUAAUCUAACUUCCUAGAGCCCUUCUACUGUCUCUGGGUGGAGUAGGUGUUUGCACAUUUCAAAACACAUUAUCACACUUUAGUUUGCACUUGUACUCUCAGUUGCACUCAAAUGUGUGAAUGCCUUUUGCCUGCAGCCAUCUAAGACGUUCGAAAAAGAAACAAAAGAUAAUUAAGUUUCGAGAUAAUGAAACUUAAUUAAUGACGAACUAUGAUUUUUUCUUAAGAAAGUUAAAUGAAAUAUUUUAAUGAUUGUAAAAUCUACACAGACCCUUUUAGGUUUUGAGGUGCUGGUGGUAAUCUUGUAGCUAAACCUUCAGCAACUGUAUGAAGUGAGGGUCAUCUCAAAGGCACAGACUAUUUUUCAGACCCUCAACAUCCUUUUCAUGUUGACUUCCAGAUGCUUCCAUCAGGGCGGAGGUUUAGUGUCUCUAAAGGUAGCACUAAUAGAUACAGAUAGUCCUUUCUUCCAUCUGCUUUUGGUCUCUAAAACAAACUAUAACACCAGUCAUUGUGUCUUUUUUUCCCAUGACUCAUGGUGACAGUGUAGGAGAUAUGGAUCUUGUGCUGUGCUGUGUAUGAUGAAUUGUAUGUAUUUGUGUUGGACUACUGUCUGUAACACAAACUGCCCCUCGAGAACAUUCAAGUUUUUUGAAUCUUGAAUAUUAAAACCAGCACUUUUUUUUCUGCACUUCCCUUUGCUGCCUCUUUUAGAUACUUACUAUGUCAAUGUGUGCUCUGACAAACCCGUUUGAAUGUUUAAAAAAGUAAAAAACACCUUUCCCUCUUGGUUCCUGUAUAAUUGUGUUAGAUAUGUAAGCCUGAAUAUCAGCUUGUAAUAUGACCAGAAUGUAGGGUUUCAUAUCUUUGCUGACCUGUGAAUGUUAAUGUUUAAGGGUUAACAAACACUCAGCGUUAUCCAGUCAAAGUUUCCUGUUAUUUCUCCCAUUUGAUGCAUUUCCUUCACGUUUGGGCUCUUUCACAUGAAAUCCCAUUUCCUGCAGACAACAGUAAAUGUACUGCAUGAUCUUAAGUGAACUGUUUUGUCUGCAAAACAGUGACUCUUACGGUAUCUGAGAAAAAAGCACAACAUGUCAGAUGCGAUAAAAUCACAGAUAUAAGAACAAUUUACCGGAGCUGUUAUGUAUACAAGUAUGAAAGUUAACUGAUUUCCUAAGAGAAUUCACACCUCUAGACUCGAAUGAGGAGCAACCAAAGGUGUUACUAUUAAUGCUCACAUGGUAGAGAGAGAGAGAAUUGAGCAGACACGACUCACUUCAGCUCUUAAAGAAAAUACAAACCAAGUCAGAGAGAACAGAAAAGAAGAAGACAGGAACAAACAACAACUGUGUUGGGGGGAUGGGCAGCCCAGAAGAUUACAAAAAACAGUGCAGGAGCCUGCAUGUCUUUUUUCAUUGUGUGGGAGAAUUCCAGUGUUGAAGCUACAAGCGAGGUUUCCUGGCCCUGCAUGUUUGCCUCGUGAGGGAAUGGAGAUGUUAAUAGUAUACCCCUGCUGUCGCUGCGCUCCACUCUGAGGGCUCAAACUUCCAAAGAUACAUAUCAUCAUGAGGAUGCAUGGUUUCAAAGGGACCACAUAACAAAUCAGAGGCCCAUCCCUAUGCACCGAUGGCCUGUCUCUCAUUUCAGAUGGAGAUUGAAGGGCAUGUCUACCCCUGGAGCGUCAGUGGAGAUCAGGGGGCCUCAGUAGCACCCGCCGCCCCGGGGCCCCUGUGUUUCCACUGCGUGGGAGCUGGACCGUGACACACACCAAACGUCAAGCCCACCGCAAGUGCCUUUUCCUCGCGAUCUGCUGUCUGAUGCACGCAGUCAUUAGAAAAAGCCCCGAAAACUUUGCCUGCAUCCCCUGUUAGCUCAAGGUCGUGUGUGAGUCGAGUGUGUGUUUUGGGUUUGGCAUCCUUUGAAAAGAUAUGACAAUAACAAGCCCUUGAACAGGAGUUAUUAUGUGUUCGGCUGAGAGUAGGAGCUUGUGUUGCUGUGAUGGAAGUUGGAAGCUUCCCAGUGUUGUUUUGAGGUGCUUUGGGUUUGUUAGUCAUAGCUUACUGUAAUGUGUCUCCUAAGAUGCUCCUAUUUAGAGAUUGUUAUGAGCGCCCGCCACUCUGAAGUGGUGUCACGGGUCAGCUCCUCUGGGUUUCCUGGCAGAGGAUGUGUGGGCUUGUGAAUCUGUGAAAACAACAGGGCAACAGAAGAUCAAUUCCAGGUUGACGGCACAUACUGUAUCUGAGCGAGACAUGGCUCCAAUCUUCCUGCUUGUCUGUCUCCAGCUCUGGUCUUUCUAGGCCUCCAUUAAGCUCCUUCAGCUUUCAUAUGACACGGCGAUACCCAUCAUAAGCUGCAUGACAGCAUAUGGACCUGAGUGACAUUUGAUGUGUAUGGCAGGAGUGAGUGCAGCUCCUCUUUGUGUCUCCCAUUCAUGUGGUGAGGGCAGGAUUAAGACUUGAUCCAAUAGAGCAGAAGUGGAGAAGCACGAGCUCGGGUCAGAUCUGCCUUGAAUUAAGUCAGUGUUGCAGCAGAAAUAAUACAAUCACCUCCCCCAAAACACUGUAAUACUACUGAAGGGUAACGUGUGUGCAUGUGUGUUUGUUUGUGUGUGUGUGUGUGUGUGUGUGUGUGUGUGUGCUGAGCUUGGCCUGUGCCGAGCCUGCGACCAAACCACAGGCUGGUGUCCCUUACAGAGAAGAGGGGUCUCUGUUGACGGUUCAAACACAGCCCACGGCCCCAGCUUCAAAAGGCCCCCAAUCAUCGCACCCACUUACAGCCAACGGCGCAUGUCACUUAAUGUGGACCACACUAUUCAUCAAUUAUGGUGAGCUCAAGGGCCAUCCAACACCCGCACCACAGCUCCACAAGUAGUGAGUUGUCUUCUGUUCUGACUGAAACCCCCCAUCACAUCCCCCAAGAGUCCUCAAAGCCCAUCUGUUGCAGGAGGUGUGGUAAGAGCUGUCAUACAAACAGAACUCUGGCUUUCUCUCUUCUUUCAUGCCCUGUUAUCCUGCCACAACUCUCCAAACUCCUCAUCCUCCUCCUCUGACUUUGUCUGGCCUCCUGCAGUGUCCUUUAAGCUUCAUAAAAGCUCACUUCUUCCCCUUCCUCAUGUAAUUGCCAGGAAACGUCCGACAGUAGGCUAAUGCACACGCCUGUAAGACACACACAAGUCCGCGACCUCACCCUCCUACUCACUGUUUAUCUGUCCCUUGGCAAGCGAACUGAGUCAAACUGGAACUCAUUUAAUGUCAUCUGAUUCUGACAUGUUGCCAUGGGGUAUUAGUUAAGCCCAAAUGCCUUUCUGGUAUCCAAGUGACAGAACGUAUGUUAAGGUUGUAAGAGUGAAAAUAAAUGACAUAAAUGUGGCGACCAUAUUUAGAAUUUCCUUUUAACAGACAGAUUACGGCAGGGCGUGCAAACCUGAACCAGACCACACAAAAUCAUCAGAGUCUUUCUCCUUCUCCUCCUCCUCAUCUUCGUCUUUCUCUCCAGUCUGUCCACGAGAGAACUUCCUCCUUCACAUCUGGAGAGGGCUCAGGUCAGGUCGGCCCGGCGUGAGGGGAUGAAGGGUGACUCUCAUGCUGGCUGGAUCACCCAGCGCACCUCUGCUUGAGUCGUUCCUCUACUAUCCCCAAGAGCGGUUCAGCUGCUGGUACAUGUGCGGCUGCUUCAGUAUAUGUGUGUGUGUAUGUGAGUGUGUGUCCAUCGGAGCCCUAACCUCAGCAGCUGUGUGUGAUUUUGCAUUCAUGUUGUCGGAGGCUUCUUUCCUGUUGUGUUUUUUUUCCUAUCUGUCCUGACACCUUGUUCCAUGUGGUGGAGACACGUUCUGGUCAGAUAAUGGAUGUGAGCUGCUUUAUGUCAGCCUCAGUGCUUUAAAAUCAGUAUUUUCGCUCCAUCUGUGACAAGGCAGAUAAUAUACAGACACCAUCCCUUUCAGUGUUUGAAACUUAAGAGAAAAAAUACAUUCAUGUCUUUUUUUCUAAGAAUAAAUAAGGAUGUUUUUAAACAAGUAAAUCUGUAAGUGUAUGUUAUUUCUCUCAGUUAUUUUUUGUUGUGGAGAUACUUAAAAUCAGUGAUUCCCAACCAGGG